rnacentral:misc_RNA from 1 species
GCCCCCCCCCCGCCAGUGGUUAGUACAUGCGGUCGAACGCUUCUUUUUCCACCGGAGCUUGCUCCACCGGAAAAAGAGGAGUGGCGAACGGGUGAGUAACACGUGGGUAACCUGCCCAUCAGAAGGGGAUAACACUUGGAAACAGGUGCUAAUACCGUAUAACAAUCAAAACCGCAUGGUUUUGAUUUGAAAGGCGCUUUCGGGUGUCGCUGAUGGAUGGACCCGCGGUGCAUUAGCUAGUUGGUGAGGUAACGGCUCACCAAGGCCACGAUGCAUAGCCGACCUGAGAGGGUGAUCGGCCACAUUGGGACUGAGACACGGCCCAAACUCCUACGGGAGGCAGCAGUAGGGAAUCUUCGGCAAUGGACGAAAGUCUGACCGAGCAACGCCGCGUGAGUGAAGAAGGUUUUCGGAUCGUAAAACUCUGUUGUUAGAGAAGAACAAGGAUGAGAGUAACUGUUCAUCCCUUGACGGUAUCUAACCAGAAAGCCACGGCUAACUACGUGCCAGCAGCCGCGGUAAUACGUAGGUGGCAAGCGUUGUCCGGAUUUAUUGGGCGUAAAGCGAGCGCAGGCGGUUUCUUAAGUCUGAUGUGAAAGCCCCCGGCUCAACCGGGGAGGGUCAUUGGAAACUGGGAGACUUGAGUGCAGAAGAGGAGAGUGGAAUUCCAUGUGUAGCGGUGAAAAUGCGUAGAUAUAUGGAGGAACACCAGUGGCGAAGGCGGCUCUCUGGUCUGUAACUGACGCUGAGGGCUCGAAAAGCGUGGGGAGCAAACAGGAUUUAGAUACCCCUGGUAAGUCCACGCCGUAAACGAUGAGUGCUAAAGUGUUGGAGGGUUUCCCGCCCCUUCAGUGCUGCAGCUAACGCAUUAAAGCACUCCGCCUGGGGGAGUACGACCGCAAGGUUGAAACUCAAAGGAAUUGACGGGGGG